AUUGGGGUGUAAAAGCGUUGACCGAAGUACGUUUUGUAUGAAGCGCGGAAGCGCUUCAUACUGAAAAUGUGCGCACGGUAAACGCCUUUACAACCCUAUAAAGUUACAAAAAGAAGCAUUCAAUACUUAUAAUUACAUUUUUUUAGCUAGGAUCAUGAAAACACGAUUUUUAUCAAGUUUUCAUUUAAUUCACCUGUGCACUUUAUUGUGGGAC
rnacentral:lncRNA from 1 species